GAUGAACGCUGGCGGCGUGCCUAAUACAUGCAAGUCGAGCGAACGGACGAGAAGCUUGCUUCUCUGAUGUUAGCGGCGGACGGGUGAGUAACACGUGGAUAACCUACCUAUAAGACUGGGAUAACUUCGGGAAACCGGAGCUAAUACCGGAUAAUAUUUUGAACCGCAUGGUUCAAAAGUGAAAGACGGUCUUGCUGUCACUUAUAGAUGGAUCCGCGCUGCAUUAGCUAGUUGGUAAGGUAACGGCUUACCAAGGCAACGAUGCAUAGCCGACCUGAGAGGGUGAUCGGCCACACUGGAACUGAGACACGGUCCAGGCUCCUACGGGAGGCAGCAGUAGGGAAUCUUCCGCAAUGGGCGAAAGCCUGACGGAGCAGCGCCGCGUGAGUGGUGAAGGUCUUCGGAUCGUAAAACUCUGUUAUUAGGGAAGAACAUAUGUGUAAGUAACUGUGCACAUCGUGACGGUACCUAAUCAGGAAGCCACGGCUAACUACGUG
rnacentral:rRNA from 1 species